GGCAGGUACCGCUCCUCACCCUCCGACACACAAUGGAAAAAUAUAAACGGAUAUGAUUAUCGCUCGGCUGCAGACGCAGACGGUGUCAAGACACUCUUGCUCCAGUCUGUCCAUGACCUCGGCAGGAAGCAGUGGCUCGAGAGAUCCACAGUCUAUAGACCCCAUGGCACCCACAACGCCCAGCACAUCCCUGCAACACACCCCUACAGUCAGCCGGAAGUCUGCCCAGAAUUGACAGCCCAGAAUUGACAAGCUGGUAAUAUGUAGGGAAGUGCUUAUUUCUGGACCAGAAAAAGGAAACAUAGUGUACGUCUAAAAUGGAGCCUCAUCUACAGCAAAGAAUACUACAAACCAGUUUUUCCCAACACAGGUUUUAGACAUCUUAAUAAUUUUUUUUAGGAAAUCUUUCACAGAAAAAUUUUAA